UACGGAGGAUCCAAGCGUUAUCCGGAUUUAUUGGGUUUAAAGGGUGCGUAGGCGGCCUAUUAAGUCAGGGGUGAAAGACGGUGGCUCAACCAUCGCAGUGCCUUUGAUACUGAUAGGCUUGAAUACACUAGAGGUAGGCGGAAUGUGACAAGUAGCGGUGAAAUGCAUAGAUAUGUCACAGAACACCGAUUGCGAAGGCAGCUUACUAUGGUGUCAUUGACGCCGAGGCACGAAAGCGUGGGGAUCAAACAGG
rnacentral:rRNA from 1 species